UACGAAGGGGGCUAGCGUUGUUCGGAAUUACUGGGCGUAAAGCGCACGUUAGGCGGACAUUUAAGUCAGGGGUGAAAUCCCAGAGCUCAACUCUGGAACUGCCUUUGAUACUGGCGAUCUUGAGUCCGGGAGAGGUGAGUGGAACUGCGAGUGUAGAGGUGAAAUUCGUAGAUAUUCGCAAGAACACCGUGGCGAAGGCGGCUCACUGGCC
rnacentral:rRNA from 1 species